AUUUUUCCUAAGGCGGGAGCGGAGUGCUGUGGCUUAGCUGUUGGAGGAAGGUGGCUGCAGUUACCAAGAGUGAAGACACGUGGAAAGAAGUUGUUGUCACUAAGAGUGUCUUCUGGAAGGCUCCUGGUCUGUGAUGGAGAAAACUGAGACUCAAAGAGAUUUAUUUUCCUUCCCAACACAGUAGUAAAAUGGGCAGAAAUGAAAGGAGCCUGCAGGUUGAACCCAGGUUCCAUCCAGAGGCCCGCCUAGGAAACCUCUCCACUACAAGAUGUUCAAGUGGGCCACAUACCUGGCUUGCCGAACAGGCACAGCAGAUGAGUAACAAGUGCGUUUAUAGAUUUCGUGGUGCUCCAGCUGUCGCUGAUAUUUACAGAUGAAGAAACAGGCUCAAAAAAUCCAAGUCACACAAUCUAUAAUAGGUGGCAAAGCCUAUAUCC